rnacentral:sRNA from 1 species
GCUGGGCACGGUAGUGCAUGCCAGUUGUCCUAGCUCCUUGGGAGGCUGAGGCAGGAGGAUCACUUGAGCCCACAAGUUGGAGACCAGCCUAGGCAACAAAGCAAGACCCCAUCUCAA